GCGAGGGUAGCCAAGCCAGGUCAAUGGUGAGAUUCCUAAUCUGUUCCGUAGAGGUUCAGGGGUUCAAAUCCCUUCCCUCGCA
rnacentral:tRNA from 1 species